rnacentral:rRNA from 1 species
CCUUAGAGUUUGAUCCUGGCUCAGGAUGAACGCUAGCUACAGGCUUAACACAUGCAAGUCGAGGGGCAGCAUUUUAGUUUGCUUGCAAACUAAAGAUGGCGACCGGCGCACGGGUGAGUAACACGUAUCCAACCUGCCGAUAACUCGGGGAUAGCCUUUCGAAAGAAAGAUUAAUAUCCGAUGGUAUAUUAAAACCGCAUGGUUUUACUAUUAAAGAAUUUCGGUUAUCGAUGGGGAUGCGUUCCAUUAGUUUGUUGGCGGGGUAACGGCCCACCAAGACUACGAUGGAUAGGGGUUCUGAGAGGAAGGUCCCCCACAUUGGAACUGAGACACGGUCCAAACUCCUACGGGAGGCAGCAGUGAGGAAUAUUGGUCAAUGGACGAGAGUCUGAACCAGCCAAGUAGCGUGAAGGAUGACUGCCCUAUGGGUUGUAAACUUCUUUUAUAUGGGAAUAAAGUAUUCCACGUGUGGGAUUUUGUAUGUACCAUAUGAAUAAGGAUCGGCUAACUCCGUGCCAGCAGCCGCGGUAAUACGGAGGAUCCGAGCGUUAUCCGGAUUUAUUGGGUUUAAAGGGAGCGUAGGUGGAUUGUUAAGUCAGUUGUGAAAGUUUGCGGCUCAACCGUAAAAUUGCAGUUGAAACUGGCAGUCUUGAGUACAGUAGAGGUGGGCGGAAUUCGUGGUGUAGCGGUGAAAUGCUUAGAUAUCACGAAGAACUCCGAUUGCGAAGGCAGCUCACUAGACUGCAACUGACACUGGUGCUCGAAAGUGUGGGUAUCAAACAGGAUUAGAUACCCUGGUAGUCCACACAGUAAACGAUGAAUACUCGCUGUUUGCGAUAUACAGUAAGCGGCCAAGCGAAAGCAUUAAGUAUUCCACCUGGGGAGUACGCCGGCAACGGUGAAACUCAAAGGAAUUGACGGGGGCCCGCACAAGCGGAGGAACAUGUGGUUUAAUUCGAUGAUACGCGAGGAACCUUACCCGGGCUUAAAUUGCAUUUGAAUAAUCUGGAAACAGGUUAGCCGCAAGGCAAAUGUGAAGGUGCUGCAUGGUUGUCGUCAGCUCGUGCCGUGAGGUGUCGGCUUAAGUGCCAUAACGAGCGCAACCCUUAUCUUUAGUUACUAACAGGUCAUGCUGAGGACUCUAGAGAGACUGCCGUCGUAAGAUGUGAGGAAGGUGGGGAUGACGUCAAAUCAGCACGGCCCUUACGUCCGGGGCUACACACGUGUUACAAUGGCGUAAACAAAGGGAAGCAAAGCUGUGAAGCCGAGCAAAUCUCAAAAAUAACGUUUCAGUUCGGACUGUAGUCUGCAACCCGACUACACGAAGCUGGAAUCGCUAGUAAUCGCAGAUCAGAAUGCUGCGGUGAAUACGUUCCCGGGUCUUGCACUCACCGCCCGUCAAG